CAAUACACAAACAUAAUUAAAUAUAAGGCUAAUAUCAUUCUUAACCCUACCAUUAACCCAAUAAAUAAGAGAAGGAUAAGGAUUGAACCUUAAUUUCUUACAACUAUAUUCUGUGUUUGAACGUGCAAAGAAGGUCAGCGUGGUAAACCAGCCGGCAAACUCGUAUAAGAAGAUAAUGUACCGUGAUGGUUAGAGACUCGUGUUGGUAAUUGUCGAAGGUCUUGGAAGUGCGCCCAGCUUGUCCUGAAAGCACGUUUGAUUCCCUCGAAAUUGCAUUUAGAGUGGAUCUCACUGCCUU
rnacentral:lncRNA from 1 species